UACGUAGGGAGCAAGCGUUGUCCGGAAUCAUUGGGCGUAAAGCGCGCGUAGGCGGCCUCAUAAGUCCGUUGUGAAAGUCAAAGGCUCAACCUUUGAAGGCCGAUGGAUACUGUGAGGCUAGAGUCCGGAAGAGGCGAGUGGAAUUCCUGGUGUAGCGGUGGAAUGCGCAGAUAUCAGGAGGAACACCAAUAGCGAAGGCAGCUCGCUGGGACGGUACUGACGCUAAGGCGCGAAAGCGUGGGGAGCGAACAGG
rnacentral:rRNA from 1 species